GUCUAUGGCCAUACCAUCCUGAACACGCCUGAUCUUGUCUGAUCUCGGAAGCUAAGCAGGGCCAGGCCUGGUUAGUACUUGGAUGGGAGACAGUGGACCCUCAUUAGACGCCAAAUCUU
rnacentral:rRNA from 1 species